CCUUUUCCCCUGCGUUUCACAGUGAAAACGCAGUUUGUAGGCUAUUUGCGAUUUACGGAAAAUGAAAAAAUCAAUAAGAACUGAGAAAGAACAAAUAUGAACUGAGAGAAUCAGAAUUUUCGAUUCGAAAGCGACAUUGAGCUACGAAACUUAACUCCUAGACACUUGUCCCUCAUUGCGUCCGUUCAAGACAAGACCGCUGAUGAGAUUAUGCGUAAUUAUUCCAAAGGCAUGGCUUUUGUUUUGAAGAGAACGCCAUCUCCGUUUGCCGUUAUCAGUUCAAUAGUGGGCCCCCAGAUAUAAAAUGAUAGAAGCAGAAACGAUUUUUUAUGAAGUCUUAGUCUUCCGGUUUGUAACCAUCACCGAAUUAAAUCAUAAUCAUCAUGUAAAGUUGUGGAAAUGAGUGAGCUGUUUGCCACAUACGUUAUGCUACUUUAAGUUCUGUUGCGCUCGUUCGUAUUCUCCAACCUUGCAUAUGCUGCCCAUUGUACUCGUUUUAUCACGCAGAAGAACCCGUCUCCAAAGACCAGGUUGUAAUCUGUAUAUGAGCAGGCACGUUUAUGCAGUUUUUUCUAGAGAGUCGGUGCAACUUGUUUCGUGUAUCGUUGAGUAGUCGAGUAAAGAAACUUGCUCUAGAUUAUAUCAUCCUCGCGUGACUCUGACUGAUUUAGUUCAAAAAAAUCCUGUUGCGUCAUCGGACCAGGGCCACCACGGAACGAAGCAAGUGCUGACACUUCCUCCUGAUCAGGUUUUGUUUUUAAUGGGCACAAUAAUAAACGCUCAUCGUGCGUCCUGGUCGUCGCACAAAAUCGCCGUUCAGGAAGAAACUAAGUUCGAGCGGGUGUUUCGGUGUGGCCUCUGUGCGAGUAUGCGACAGUGUGAGAGAAUAUCGCGUCCACAUCUGGAUCCAACAGGACCAGAAAAUAUUAGGCACGGAUACAGGCUAGACUGAAUUCGUAUUGCCGAUCCUCAUAGGCGAGCGCAUUCUACCGAGUGGACAGAUGAGCUUAACUAUCACAGACGUAGACGACUUCCGACGAACCAGUGUCGGGCACUACAUGCCAAUCGUUUCACUGUCGGGCACCUACUCUAAUGGAUGGAUUGAGUCUUAUCGUUAACAGACCUCAGCAGUUGCGUCUUCGGAUUACUCGAAAAGCAACUUCAACCUAUAAACAUGUUACUGUCUAAGUACUAAUGCAGUUGGAUGGAGCAAGCCUUCUGGCCCGUCGCAACUCGGGUUCGAGUCGAUGUAGCAGUUUUCGCCUUUAAAAAUCGUCCAACAGCGCGCACAAACAAUAUAUAAGAGCAUGCUGGCAGAAGGGAGGCACCCGUUUAUGGCUGCAACUACCGAAACAUGCUGGGAAAAUACUAUCUUGUCCAUGAUGGCUUUGUUACAGCGCAACGCAUAAGAGAUAUCUCGACUGUAGCAAAGCGUUAUUACUUCUACUUCGCAGACCAUCCAACGAUAGUUACCUCAGCUCGUACUCGUACAUACAGGACACUCUAAUACCCAAGAUCAAGCCUUCGCCAAAGGGCUUAGUCAUCAAUGACGAAUUUUUUCAAUAGGACCAUUGAUUGCCGAGAUCCAUUUUACGCUUUACAGUUGAAAUUUAUUUACUUGGAAGAUAUCAUAUUGGGGUCGGUGUGUCAUUUAGCAAGCGGUUACUUUUCGACCAAUGCGAGAAUCAUAAAAUAUUUUUUUCAAUCGAAGUCACCUGCUGAUAUUCAGAGCUAGAGUAUGUAUUGGGGUUUAUGAUCAAUG